rnacentral:misc_RNA from 1 species
AAGUCAAGCAGUUAGUGUCUGAAAGUGUCAUUACCUGUGUAAGGAUGACGCAGUCACGAUCGUUGGAGGCCCACGACGACCGGGUCGCUGGGCGCAAGCCCCCCUGUAACAAACCCCCUGCCAAUCGCGGCCGCGAUAAUACGCAGUCGACCAAAAACCGAACAACUGUUAACAAUGGAUAUCUUGGUUCUC